AUACUUACCUGGACAGGGUUUUUGGGUGAUCAAGAAGGCCCAUGGCCUAGGUCAACGGCUUCCAUUGCACUUAGGAGGAGCGUUGGCUUAGCAUCUCCUCGAGUAGGAGAGUGCAUGUCAUAAUUUGUGAUCGAGGGGGUACGCGUUCGCGCGGCCCUGCC